rnacentral:rRNA from 1 species
UACGGAGGAUCCAAGCGUUAUCCGGAAUCAUUGGGUUUAAAGGGUCCGUAAGCGGUUUAAUAAGUCAGUGGUGAAAGCCCAUCGCUCAACGGUGGAACGGCCAUUGAUACUGUUAAACUUGAAUUAUUAGGAAGUAACUAGAAUAUGUAGUGUAGCGGUGAAAUGCUUAGAGAUUACAUGGAAUACCAAUUGCGAAGGCAGGUUACUACUAAUGGAUUGACGCUGAUGGACGAAAGCGUGGGUAGCGAACAGG